UUGGGUUCCUUGAUUGAUCGAGCAAAAGGGCACAAAUGAAACUAGACAGAAAAAAACACAAAGGCGGCAAGGACACAAGUCCGACGGUUGAUUCAUCAUCGAGAGAGAGGAGACCUUAGUUUCUCGACUUGACCGAAGGAGGAAAGGAACGGAAGCAGCAGAGUUGCUCUUCUUCUGCUCUAACAGUGUAUUUAAAGGGAUGAGGAGGGUUGGUCCGGUGAGGCAACGCAAUCAGCAGCAGCAGGUACUUCAGAGGAGCGCGGGAAGGCGAAGGCGUGAUUGUACACCUUCUCAUGUUUUGUUCUUAUGAUUUUAAGAUUCUAUGAUGUGAAAGUUAUUUUGAAAAUAAUUUGUAAACAAUGAGGAUUUGGGGUUUAUUUUAAAAGUUUAAAAUUUUCAAGAA